CGAUCCGAGGAGCGCUGCAACCCGCCAGGGCCAGGCUCGGAUCCGCCACAGACGAUGUUUCCAACGGCGCUCACUCGAU
rnacentral:ncRNA from 2 species